GACGAACGCUGGCGGCGUGCUUAACACAUGCAAGUCGAACGGAAAGGCCCUGCUUGCAGGGUCCUCGAGUGGCGAACGGGUGAGUAACACGUGGGUGAUCUGCCCUGCACUUCGAGAUAAGCCUGGGAAACUGGGUCUAAUACCGGAUAGGAGCCAUUUUUAGUGUGAUGGUUGGAAAGUUUUUUUCGGUGUAGGAUGAGCUCGCGGCCUAUCAGCUUGUUGGUGGGGUAAUGGCCUACCAAGGCGGCGACGGGUAGCCGGCCUGAGAGGGUGGACGGCCACAUUGGGACUGAGAUACGGCCCAGACUCCUACGGGAGGCAGCAGUGGGGAAUAUUGCACAAUGGGCGCAAGCCUGAUGCAGCGACGCCGCGUGGGGGAUGACGGCCUUCGGGUUGUAAACUCCUUUCGCUAGGGACGAAGCUUUUUGUGACGGUACCUAGAUAAGAAGCACCGGCUAACUACGUG
rnacentral:rRNA from 1 species